rnacentral:rRNA from 1 species
GUGAAAUUGUUGAAAGGGAAGCGCUUGCAGCCAGACUUGCCUGUAGUUGCUCAUCCGGGCUCUUGCCCGGUGCACUCUUCUGUAGGCAGGCCAGCAUCAGUUUGGGCGGUUGGAUAAAGGUCUCUGUCAUGUACCUCUCUUCGGGGAGGCCUUAUAGGGGAGGCGACAUACAACCAGCCUAGACUGAGGUCCGCGCAUUCGUGCUAGGAUGCUGGCGUAAUGGCUGUAAGCGGCCCGUCUUGAAACACGGACCAAGGAGUCUAACAUCUAUGCGAGUGUUUGGGUGUCAAGCCCGAGCGCGUAAUGAAAGUGAACGGAGGUGGGAACCCCUCGGGGUGCACCAUCGACCGAUCCUGAUGUCUUCGGAAGGAUUUGAGUAAGAGCAUGGCUGUUGGGACCCGAAAGAUGGUGAACUAUGCUUGAAUAGGGUGAAGCCAGAGGAAACUCUGGUGGAGGCUCGCAGCGGUUCUGACGUGCAAAUCGAUCGUCAAAUUUGGGCAUAGGGGCGAAAGACUAAUCGAACUAUCUAGUAGCUGGUUCCUGCCGAAGUUUCCCUCAGGAUAGCUAUAACGAAUUCAGUUUUAUGAGGUAAAGCGAAUGAUUAGAGGCCUGGGGGUUGAAACAACCUUCACCUAUUCUCAAACUUUAAAUAUGUAAGAAGUCCUUGUUACUUAAUUGAACGUGGACAUUUGAAUGAUCGUUAUAAGUGGGCCAUUUUUGGUAAGCAG